CCCCUAGAUGUUCUGGGCCGCACGCGCGCUACACUGAACAGUUCAACAAGUCUUAACCUUGGCCGAUAGGUCCGGGUAAUCUUUGAACGCUGUUCGUGAUUGGGAUAGACCUUUGCAAUUAUGGGUCUUCAACGAGGAAUUCCUAGUAAACGCAAGUCAUCAGCUUGCAUUGAUUACGUCCCUGCCCUUUGUACACACCGCCCGUCGCACCUACCGAUUGAAUGGUCCGGUGAAAUCUCGGGACGGCGGCUUGGUCGCUUGCGUCCGACUGCUGAAACUUGAUUAAACCAUAUCAUUUAGAGGAAGGUGAANUCGUAACA
rnacentral:rRNA from 1 species